CGCGUAGGUGGUCUGUUAAGUCAGAUGUGAAAUGUAAGGGCUCAACCCUUAAUGUGCAUCUGAUACUGGCAGACUUGAGUGCGGAAGAGGCAAGUGGAAUUCCUAGUGUAGCGGUGAAAUGCGUAGAUAUUAGGAGGAACACCAGUGGUGAAGGCGACUUGCUGGGCCGUAACUGACGCUGAGGCGCGAAAGCGUGGGAGCAAACA
rnacentral:rRNA from 1 species